AUUGAUCAACAUGUUCCAAGCAGUGGACUAUCUUUCAACUUUCGUUCUUCAGCCGUCAUCGAAAAAGGCUGUGACUAAAAAGAAAAUGAACAGUUCCAACAAUUCAGCAAGUACACCGCUAUUGCAUCCGGAUCAAAGCAGUUUGAGUCAGGCAGGAAACGUUAAUAAAUAUCCCAUUUACGUGGCUCAACCGGUACAUAACGUUCCAAAUUUCCCACCACAUUACGCUCAUCAGUAUUAUCCGGGGUGCCCUUUAUGUCCAAUAGAUCCGUAUUACUCACGGUAUCCAACACAUUCUAGUUAUCCUGGAUAUUAUGCAAAUCCUCAACCUGAUAGAUGGCACCUUGCAAAUCCAAGGUGAGCUGCGCAGGGUUUUCAAGCUUUCCUAGAAUACCAUAAGAUCUUUUGAAAUUCUAAAUUAUUUGUAAAUAUUGAUGUAAAUGAAUUUUUCAUCAGAAUGAGAAUUAAAUUAAGUUGAUGAUAUUGAGCGCCUUAUUAUA